rnacentral:lncRNA from 1 species
CCAAUGUCUGAGGGUCAAAAUAAUUUGCAAACACAUGCCUCUGAAACUGCAUUUGGUGAGAGCUCUGCUGAUGCUUUGAAGUUUGGACUGAAUCAGAAAAAUUCCAGUUCUGAUGUAUUGCCUGAUCGAGGAAUGAAAAAACAUGUUGUUAAGGAAAAGAUGAUGUCAGGAAAGAUCAAUGCUCAAGCAUACGGAAAAAAUAGAAGCAUGAAUGACGUGAAUCAACAUGCUACGGAUUCAAAACCAACGAAGACAAUGAGUUCUAGACAUUCUAGCAGGUUUGGCAACAUUAUCGAAGAUAAAUAUCUGUCUGAAGAGAGAGAUCAGGUUGAGGUCACUUCUGGUGUUUGCUCUUUGGAUGCUGU